rnacentral:rRNA from 1 species
CAGAGACUGCAAGCGUUAUUCGGAUUCACUGGGCGUAAAGGGUGCGCAGGCGGUUGGGUGUGUCAGAUGUGAAAUCCCGAGGCUUAACCUCGGAACUGCGUCUGAAACUACUCGACUAGAGUAUUGGAGAGGGUAACGGAAUUCACGGUGUAGCAGUGAAAUGCGUAGAUAUCGUGAGGAACACCAGAGGCGAAGGCGGUUACCUGGACAAUUACUGACGCUCAGGCACGAAAGCAUGGGGAGCAAAAGGGAUUAGAUACCCCUGUAGUCCAUGCCCUAAACGGUGCACACUAGGUCUUAGCGGAUUCGACCCACUAGGGCCCAAGCUAACGCGUUAAGUGUGCCGCCUGAGGACUACGGUCGCAAGACUA